rnacentral:rRNA from 1 species
AUGGGUACCGACAACAGCGGGCAGAUCAACUACGAGGAGCUCAAGGCUGUUCUGGAGCAGGUGGGUGCAAGGAUAGUGUGUGGGAUUUCCAGUAGAAGAGUAUCUUCAGAGAUGGCUCUUCUUGGCACCGCUAUCUCUGGUGUGAAUGUCCUUGCCAUGCCCAUUUUAGUGCCAGACACAAUACAGGAGAGUAAUGUUAUCAGGUCAUACUCUUGUGGAAGGAUCGGCGCAGCAGAGCUUCGAAGGAGAUCCAGGUGUUCUUCUCCAUCCUUCAACAAGCGGAUUAUUCUUUGUGCCAAUGCAUAG